rnacentral:lncRNA from 1 species
AUCCAUUCACUUUUGCAUUGUAGUGCUCUCAACCUAUAUUCAAAUAUAACCAGCUGGAUUCCUUUGCUCAGUCAAGGAUUCUCCUAAAGCUUAAGGACAGUGAAGCUCAGAAAGUGUGUGGAGGAGCAGUUAAUUCAGUUUCAUGCAAGGGUUAAGAUGACUUUAUUCCCCCUUUUCUUCACAACUAAUAAAAUUUCAAAUGCAUACUCUUACGUGUGUCUUUUUGAGGGAGGGUGGUAGAAGGGGAAUCCUCAGUACCUAUUGGCUGGGCUCUAUCAGCUGCAGUUCAGCUCCAGCUGCUGCUAAAGAGCUGUAUUGAUCUGAAGGGUAAAUGAGUAGAGAGAACCAGAGGGAGAGGGAGAGAGAGAUCCACUUAUUUCUGAGAAGAUAGACAACCUUUGCCAGAAAGAAAGUGGUUCAACCCGUCUGCUUUCCUUGUCGUGCGUUUGGUGAAUGAAAAAAAAGGACGUUUGAGAAGGCAGUUUGUUGCUAUGGUGGGGUAGAGAGAGAUACAUGGUUUUCUUUUAGUAGAAGCUUCUGUUGCAUCUUACUGUCGCUGCUGCUUCUCUGGCUGCUGCACUUGCACAGAGCAGGACGGUUUCUAUGGAGAACAUUACAAAAGGAAAUGUCCUACUCCCUCAUCUUACCGUCUUCCUCUACAAGCAAUAAACCCCGUGGCCCAUCUUUUUUAAAGGUAUGGGGGAACAUAUGUGAUUGAAGAUGUUCCCACAGGAACAUGGUGACUCUGACUCCCUUAAUGUCUCUUGCUUCUUAAAGGUUUGUGAAAUGGAUCCCCCUGCCAAAUGCUGUCUGCUCCAAAGAUUGGGUGUACUUAGUGUAUAGCAGAAGUUGGCAAUGUGUAGUUGUGUAGAUGUUGUUGGGCUAGAGUACCCAUAAUGCCAUUGGGUAGGCUAGGUUCAGUUGAUUGGAGCUUUUGUUCCUUGCUUCACAACAAUUUGUUCUGCCUGUACUAAACACCUGUAAGGCAUAAGUGUAUAUGUAGAUA